AAGGUUGAUUUUGAACAUAAAAUCGUGGAUCAAUAAUGACGACGGGCUAUAUAAAGGCGGCCACGUCAUUUUCAGCCACAUACCAAUUCUAAACGUCUAGUUAGAAGGUUUAUCAUUAGGAAUAUCAUUUUCUUAUUUUAAGAUGUUCAGAAGUAUAGAAAGUUUUGUUAAAAAUAUAGUCAAUAAGAAACAAAAGGUUUAUAGAAAUGAUUACAAGAGAAGAUAAACUAUUAUUCAAAAUAAAGAAGGCGAAAACUCAUUACAAAAUGGCGGCGUCAUAAUCUGGCGAGGUGAACUGCGCAAUAAGUUGAAAUACCAUGAUAUUUUAAAUUGGACAUAAAUAUCAAUGAACAAAAGGAUUGGGUACUAAUAAUAUUUAGUUACUCGCUAUGUAAUUGACUGGUCCAGAAUGGUUCACCUCCGGUUCUAUCGGACAACACGUAUCCACCUAAUCACAUAUACAUCUUACAAGUAUACCUAGGCGCCCGACCAUGACGGUACUUAACUUGAUUAUGUUGGUACCUAGCUCUAGAUGCGCGUAUUCGUCGAUGUUUUCUUUUAACGUUGGCGUGAGGGUCCGGGCAGGUUGCUGAAUUUUCUACGUCGAUAGCUAGAAAUAGAAAAAAAUAUAUAUUUUGUUAUCUCACAGAAAUAAAACUUUGCUAUUUUUCUCGCAUUAAUUUA